AUGCUAUCCUGUUUGGUUAGACAACAUAAAUAUGAAUUAUUUCAUGCCCUCUUUUAUUCCCCACUAUCCAUUGCACCUGUCUAUCAUACAAUGUCUAUACUUUCAAUUAAUUUUCUUGUUUGUCAUCCAUUUGAAUUGGAGAGGGUGAUGGCAGUAUCUAAGGGAGUAACAACACGGUCUUCAGAAAAGAUAGUGCUACCAGUUGAUGCAGAUAGAACCAUAGUUGUACUUGCCCAAGGACCAGAUCCACCACGCAUAACCCAGACUCUCGCAAAUUGUACCCCUACCCAGUUGGACAGAGAACCAGCUACACCCUUCUAA
rnacentral:rRNA from 1 species